rnacentral:rRNA from 1 species
UACGGAGGGUGCAAGCGUUAUCCGGAUUCACUGGGUUUAAAGGGUGCGUAGGUGGGCUGGUAAGUCAGUGGUGAAAUCUCCAGGCUUAACUUGGAAACUGCCAUUGAUACUAUCAGUCUUGAAUACCGUGGAGGUCAGCGGAAUAUGUCAUGUAGCGGUGAAAUGCUUAGAUAUGACAUAGAACACCAAUUGCGAAGGCAGCUGGCUACACGAAUAUUGACACUGAUGCACGAAAAGCGUGGGGGAUCAAAACAGG